GCCCUUAUGGUCUAGUUUGGAUUUAAGACAAUUUUUUUCAAAAAAUUAACGAGUAUUCAAAUUACUCUAAGGGUU
rnacentral:tRNA from 1 species